ACAAAUAAUGAUUAUAGGCAAUUUUUAGAAAGUUGUGUAUAAAUUCAGUAUGCAAUCUUUUAAAGUAAGAGAAGUUUUAUGAGAGUUAAUCCAACAGUAAGAUAUUAAAGGAAAUAGAGCUAUAGAGACAGAAAAUAAUAAUCUAGUUCCUAAGAACUUUUAAAAUUGAAUUAAUAUAAGUCUAUACAAUGGCUUGAUAAAUUUGGGGGUUUUAAUAUGCAGGUAUUCAAGAUUCAUGCAACAAUGUAAGGUCUUAUUUAUUUAUCUAUCUAUAAAACAUGUCACUCACCUUUUAUCCUGCAGAGUGCUUUCUAGCUGAAAUACAAGUGAUUACUCUUCUACAACCUAUUACAGAUCAGCUGAAGCUCACAUCUCAUAAAUGAAGAAAAACCUAGAAUCCACAAGGAGACAUCCUUAACAUAAAAUGAUGAAAAAAAGGAGUCACACAGAGAUCGUGCUAUUUUGCUAUGGGUACCCAGCUGCCUUGUGGUACCUUCUCGUGCCGAGCAUCCUCUCCGCUCCGUUGUCUGCCGUUGCCUCUGCUUAGGACGCUCUCCAACCCCCCGAAGCCCGCGAUCUAAUUCCUGUCCACACGUCAAGGCCCGAUUUAGCUGUCAACUGCUGUAGAUGCCAUCCCCAGUCCUUCCAGAUGAGUUCAGCAUCCUUUUACCCGUGCUCCUGCAGCACUGUGCAGAACUGUCCAUUCAUUGUGUGUUUGUCUCUC